rnacentral:lncRNA from 1 species
GGGGGUCUCCCCUUAUUUUGGAGGGGGGGGCUCUCCCUAUUCCAUAUAUUUUGGGGGAGGGUCCCUAUUCCUAUUAUUGGGGGGGGUCUCCCCAUAUUUUGGGGGGGGUCCCUUUAUUUGAGGGGGUCCCUAUUCCCAUAUUGGGGGCCUCCCUAUAUUAUGGAGGGGUCCCCAAUUCCCAUAUUGGGGGGGGGUUCCUAAUCCUAUAUUGGCAGGGUCUCCCUGUAUUUGGGGGGGGUCCCCCCCUAUUAUAUUUAGGGAUCCCCCCCAUAUUGGUGGGGUCUCCCCCCAUAUUUGAGGUCUACCCCCAUAUUUCGGGUCCCCCCCUGUAUUUGGGGUCCCUGUCCCUAUAUUGGGGGUCCCCCCCUCUAUUUCGAGUCCCCCCCUAUAUUUGGGGUCCCCCCCUAUAUUUGGGGGGGCCCAUCCCCAUAUCCCCAUAUUUGGGGUCUCUCCCUCUAUUUGGGGUCCUUGUCCCCAUACUGGGAGCCCCCCCCUAUAUUUCGAGCCCCCCCCUAUAUUUGGGGUCCCCCCUCUAUUUGGGGUCCCUGUCCCCGUACUGGGGGGCUCCCCCUAUAUUUGGGGCCCCUCCCUACAUUUGGGGGGGGUCCCCAUCCCCAUAUCCCCAUAUUGGGGGUCCCUCCCUCUAUUUGGGGUCCCUGUCCCCAUACUGGGGGUCCCCCCCAUAUUUAGAGUCCCCCCCUAUAUUUGGGGGGGGGUCCCAGUCCCCAUAUCCCCAUAUUAGGAGUCCCCCCCUAUAUUUGGGGUUCCUCCCUAUAUAUUGGGGGGGGUUCCUGUCCCCAUAUGGGGUCCCCCCCUAUAUUUAGGGAUCCACCCUAUAUUUGUGAGGUCUCCCCCCAUAUUUGAGGUCUCCCCCCAUAUUUGGGGUCCCCCCCUGUAUUUGGGGUCCCUGUCCCUAUAUUGGGGGUCCCCCCCUAUAU